GGGGUGCAGCAGGCGCGAAACCUCCUGCAAUAGGCGAAAGCCUGACAGGGUUACUCUGAGUGGUUUCCGCUAAGGGAAUCUUUUGGCACCUCUACAAAUGGUGCAGAAUAAGGGGUGGGCAAGUCUGGUGUCAGCCGCCGCGGUAAUACCAGCACCCCGAGUGGUCGGGACGAUUAUUGGGCCUAAAGCAUCCGUAGCCGGUCCUGCAAGUCCUCCGUUAAAUCCAGCUGCUCAACAGAUGGGCUGCGGAGGAUACUACAGGGCUAGGAGGCGGGAGAGGCAAGCGGUACUUUAUGGGUAGGGGUAAAAUCCGUUGAUCCAUAGAAGACCACCAGUGGCGAAGGCGGCUUGCCAGAACGCGCUCGACGGUGAGGGAUGAAAGCUGGGGGAGCAAACCGGAUUAGAUACCCGGGUAGUCCCAGCUGUAAACGAUGCAGACUCGGUGAUGAGUUGGCUUAUUGCUAACUCAGUGCCGCAGGGAAGCCGUUAAGUUUGCCGCCUGGGGAGUACGGUCGCAAGACUGAAACUUAAAGGAAUUGGCGGG
rnacentral:rRNA from 1 species